GAAAGCCCGUGCACAUCAACAAAGACCCAGCACAGCCAAAAAUAAAUAAAUAAAUUUUAUAAAUUUAUAAAUAAAUGGCCAUCAAUGCCAGUGGAGUCCUGAGAUCCAAGAAUAUGUGCUGUACACGCUUUUCAGUCUCAUGGAAUCCUCCUGACAGCUCUGUGUGGUGGUGUGAUUGUUAUUUUCACUUGACAGGUAAGUCAUUAGUAUUUGAGAGGUAAAGUUAUAAUUUCCUCCAGGCCAAAUGGCUCCUACUUAACAAAUCCAGUUACAAACAGAGGUCUAAGUAUACUUCAAAAUCCUGCUUUUAAAUACCUCAUAUACUGCUUUCAAAUAAAAAUGCUUUUUUUUUUUUUUAAAGCAUUGUGCAGUAACCUGUGUUCAUCUCAUUCAUCUCAUCUCAUCAUAACAGGAACCAUAGCCGAUCCAGGAACACUCAGAACCUUCUUGUUGGGACCACCCCACCUCUCCAGACGCCCAGCUGUUCUUCACCUGAGGAAGAGGAGGCACCCUCAUCCCCCCCAGUAGUUUGGUCUCCACCAGAAACACCGAGGUCAGUUCAGUAUGAGUUGUGAGUAGAUCACAUUGAGCUACAUUUUGCGGGCAUACUCGGGAAAAUCCUGUUGAUGUAAAACAGAAAAUUAAACUAGUUUCAUUGCAA